rnacentral:rRNA from 1 species
UACGGAGGGAGCUAGCGUUGUUCGGAAUUACUGGGCGUAAAGCGCACGUAGGCGGCUUCUUAAGUCAGGGGUGAAAUCCUGGAGCUCAACUCCAGAACUGCCUUUGAUACUGAGGAGCUUGAGUCCGGGAGAGGUGAGUGGAACUGCGAGUGUAGAGGUGAAAUUCGUAGAUAUUCGCAAGAACACCAGUGGCGAAGGCGGCUCACUGGCCCGGUACUGACGCUGAGGUGCGAAAGCGUGGGGAGCAAACAGG